CAAGUAAACCGGGUGACCGCCCCGAUACAAUCGGGGAGGAAAGUCCGAGCUCUACCGAGCAGGGUGCUGGGUAAUACCCAGGAGGGGAGACCCUACGGAAAGUGCCACAGAAACAUACCGCCAGCGGCCCUGAUGGCAUCGGGGUGCGGGUAAGGGUGAAAUGGUGAGGCAAGAGCUCACCAGCAACCAGGAAACUGGCUGGCUGGGCAAACCCCACCCGGAGCAAGACCGAAUAAGAGGGCUCAACUGCUCCAAAGUCUCAAGACUCUGGGGUGAGUCUAAGGCGCUCGGCCGAAGCCCUCGGGUUGGUCGCUUGACCUCGAUGGUAACAUCGGGGCUAGAUGGAUGGUCACCACCCCGACUCGGUCGGGGGACAGAACUCGGCUUACAGGUUUGCUUGCCCG
rnacentral:RNase_P_RNA from 1 species